rnacentral:miRNA from 1 species
UCCAAAGGAAUCGCAUUGAUCC